rnacentral:rRNA from 1 species
GUCUACCGCCAUAAAAUCCUGAAUAUGUCUGAUCUCAGCUGAUCUCAAAAGCUAAGCAGGGUGGAGGAGAUAGCUCAGUGGCAUAAG